AUAUUGCAUGAAAGGAGAGAAGGUUAGCACUUCCCUUAACAAGGAUGGAAGAGGCUCUCAGGUCUGACAACCCAUUUACAGCUAAGGCAUUGCCAUUUACUUGUUGGCAUCUAAGCACUGUCUUUC
ensembl:snRNA